rnacentral:rRNA from 1 species
UAGAGUUUGAUCCUGGCUCAGAACGAACGCUGGCGGCAGGCCUAACACAUGCAAGUCGAGCGCGCCUUCGGGUGAGCGGCGGACGGGUUAGUAACGCGUGGGAACGUGCCCUUCUCUACGGAAUAGCCUCUGGAAACGGAGAGUAAUACCGUAUACGCCCUUUGGGGGAAAGAUUUAUCGGAGAAGGAUCGGCCCGCGUUAGAUUAGGUAGUUGGUGGGGUAACGGCCUACCAAGCCUACGAUCUAUAGCUGGUUUUAGAGGAUGAUCAGCAACACUGGGACUGAGACACGGCCCAGACUCCUACGGGAGGCAGCAGUGGGGAAUCUUAGACAAUGGGGGCAACCCUGAUCUAGCCAUGCCGCGUGAGUGAUGAAGGCCUUAGGGUCGUAAAGCUCUUUCGCCUGUGAUGAUAAUGACAGUAGCAGGUAAAGAAACCCCGGCUAACUCCGUGCCAGCAGCCGCGGUAAUACGGAGGGGGUUAGCGUUGUUCGGAAUUACUGGGCGUAAAGCGCGCGUAGGCGGAUUAGAAAGUUGGGGGUGAAAUCCCGGGGCUCAACCUCGGAACUGCCUCCAAAACUGCUAGUCUAGAGUUCGAGAGAGGUGAGUGGAAUUCCGAGUGUAGAGGUGAAAUUCGUAGAUAUUCGGA